rnacentral:lncRNA from 1 species
UAAGGCUGGACUUGAACUCCAGUCUUUGGACAGCCUAGCACUCUACUCUAUCCACUGCACUACUUAGCUGCCUCAUCAUCAUGGAGGAGCAUAAUUAGAUGAAAGAUUAUCUGAAGAAGAUUGGGGGGAUGGGAGGGCCUUAGAGGACCACAAGUUCAAUAUUAGUCAUGGUGAUGUGUUGGCCAAAAGAGCAUAUAUGAUCUUGAAUGGCUUGGUGAGGCAGUUAUCCCAGGAAUAAGGCAGAGAUCAUUCCUCGACAGAUCCCACAUAGCAUUCAUGCCGCCAUUUACAAUCUGUGCUACAUUGGGAGGUCACCAGAGGAGGACAGCCAGGAAAGCAAAGGCUCUCCUGUUCAUGGCAUAUGAGGACCUGGGGAUCUUUAGUCUGGAGAAAAAAAAACAAGAGGAAACCACAUUCCGAUAUUUGAAGAGGAGAGCAUUUGGCUCCCAAAGGCAAAACGAAAACUCCAACUCUUAUGAAAUUCCAGGUGCUUGGAGUCCAGAUGCCAACAUCUGGAACUGGCUAGAGUUCUGGUUCAGCAAGCACCAACCAGCCUUCACCUUCAAAGUUCACGGUUGUGUCUAAGCUCUGAUCAUUGCUCCUUAAAUGCCUUCUCUGUACCAGAUAGGAAGGCUGGCUUUAGGGGCACUUAGUAGCCACAACUCCCGAAGCUGUUUUAAAGACCACUCGGGGCUCCGUCUAGCAAAUCUUCCGCAGCUACCUCUGAUUCACCAUCUCCCCAGCUGGGUGAACCUGAGCAAAUUAUCUCCUCUCUCCGGACUGUUUCCCCAUGUGGGAAACAAGAGCUUUCAACUACCCGGCUUCUGAAAGUCCCUCCAUUCUUUGUUCCAUUCUGCAGUCUAUGCCAAGGUUCUCCAGUCCCUUCUGCACUCAUGUUAAUGGUUCCAAACUGAACUCUGGGAGCCCUUAAGCACAAGAGGCAAAUGGAAAAGUCUAGGAUUUUGCUCUUGUAGAGGAAGAAUAGAGGCCAGCGGCAAAAUUAUGAAGUGGGCAAAACUUUUUGUCUUAUGUGACAUUUAGGUGACAGAGUGGAUAGAGCAGUGGG